rnacentral:rRNA from 1 species
GAUGAACGCUGGCGGCGUGCCUAAUACAUGCAAGUCGAGCGAACAGACGAGGAGCUUGCUCCUCUGACGUUAGCGGCGGACGGGUGAGUAACACGUGGAUAACCUACCUAUAAGACUGGGAUAACUUCGGGAAACCGGAGCUAAUACCGGAUAAUAUAUUGAACCGCAUGGUUCAAUAGUGAAAGACGGUUUUGCUGUCACUUAUAGAUGGAUCCGCGCCGCAUUAGCUAGUUGGUAAGGUAACGGCUUACCAAGGCAACGAUGCGUAGCCGACCUGAGAGGGUGAUCGGCCACACUGGAACUGAGACACGGUCCAGACUCCUACGGGAGGCAGCAGUAGGGAAUCUUCCGCAAUGGGCGAAAGCCUGACGGAGCAACGCCGCGUGAGUGAUGAAGGUCUUCGGUUCGUAAAACUCUGUUAUUAGGGAAGAACAAAUGUGUAAGUAACUAUGCACGUCUUGACGGGACCUAAUCAGAAAGCCACGGCUAACUACGU